AUGCAUUCAAAAUGGGGGUCAGGGAAAAUGUAUGGAGUAAAAAGCACUGUACAUUAUUUUCUUUAGGAAUGUAGUGAAGUAAAAGUAAAGUUGUCAAAAAUAUAUAUAGUAAAGUACAGAAACCCCCAAAAACAACGGUCCCCCUCUUGCAUAUUGUUUGGUCUGCUGCUCCAUCGUUGUGAACUGGAAACUUGUAUGCCUGAUACAGGACACCAUUUUUCUUUGAGAUCGGGGAUUAGACAGAUGAACUGCAUCACCAGAUGCCCAAGCCACAAAACCCAAAACGUGUGGAGACAUCAACACUUGUCAUUUAAAUAAAUCUUAACAUUUGUACUGGUUUUCCUGUAUCUGUGCAUGAGUCUUUAAAACACAGUCCAUUGUACAAAAUAACAAAUUACAAACGUGAGGGGCAUCUCAAAGAGAUUAUCCUCCACCAUUCAUAAACUUGUUCAGUAAGAGUGAAAAUGUGAGUUUACAGUUUUUUUCCCCAGUCCUUUACUAACACCUCAUUCAACUAAUUGUGGUAUAAAUUGAAGACUUGGGCACAGUGCAAUCCCCUGGGACAGAAAAUCAAGUGUGUGUUUUAGAAUGAGCUUCAUUAAUUGCAAUGUCCCGACAAAUCUGCAUGAUAAACAAUAACAUAGGUGAAUCUAUUUCUAUAUUACAUUGUGAUGUUGCACACUCCUUCAUAUAAAAUCUGUGUAUAUGGUGAUUGUCCUGGUGACUGGGAGGUUCCAAACAAGUUCUUUACAUCUGCAGGGUGUCAGGGUGGGAUGUCCUUCAACCUGGAAUAAGCAGAUGGUUCAUGUCGCUGUAGCCACAACUACGUUUAUUAAUGUGCAUUCGUUUUGUUUUUGGCUUGGUCAGUUGUUUACAGUAAGACUAGAAUAAGUCUCUCUUUUUGAUUACUAACACCAAACCCAAUCGUGCAACACAAUAUGGGAAGUUUGCUAACAUUAAGUAAACAUACACUGCAUUAAGCUAGCUAUCUAGAUGUUUGAACGGCUGCUAGUUUUUAAGUAAGCUGCCAUUUUUGUCCUCAUGCUAGCUAGCAGUAGCAGCAGCAGCCAUUAUAGAAUGGCACGUUGUGUUUAACAACAAAGGAGCUGACUGGCUGACACUGCCCUUCCAAAAUGGCUGCUGUGGCUUCUGCUACCUAAGCGUGAGGACGAAAAGGACAGUUCUCCGGAAAAACUAGCAGUCUUUCAAUCAAUACAUUACAAAUCAGAAACUUUCUGUCCAAAAAUGAUGCAGAAAAAUUAAUCCAUGCUUUUGUCACUUCUAGGUUAGACUACUGCAAUGCUCUAUUUUCCGGCUACCCGGAUAAAGCAC